UCAAGUCAGGGAGUCAAAGGUGAUGGAUUGUCAGGAUGGCUAUGUGGAGAGAUGGAUACGCAUCGGUACUACCGGCGUUAUCUGCGGUUGCUUUCCUAAAAAUGGUGUUGGUCUUACUGACCAAGCAAUGUUGGCGACGGCUGCCUCACCGAGUAAGAUCGACGAGGAGAGACCGUCACCGAAAAACUCCCACGACCAAGGUGCAUCAUUGGAACACAUGCCACUAUUGUUAGGCAGGGGUCCUAAUUGGUAAGAAUAUCUAAUUAAUUGGUUGCCCUGUGAAGGAGAUGAAGUAAUUAAUCAUGAGCACGUAUGACCUCAGGUGAUUAUACUGAUCAAGUCAGGGAGUCAAAGGUGAUGGAUUGUCGGGAUGGCUAUGUGGAGAGAUGCU
rnacentral:lncRNA from 1 species